rnacentral:lncRNA from 1 species
GAAAAUAGAAGCGAGUCAUGAAAGGGGGGUGACAACGAUAUCAGUUCAUACACAUGGGCUUGAAUACUUCCCAUUUACAAGGCCUCGGAAGACAGCAAGCCCCGAGGGGUUUGGAAAAGAAGGCAGGCAACUCACAUGAAGCCCAUAGGCAGACAAAAUAAGCAGUGUUAGCUGGUUGCCUGACGCUCUCACUGCCCCUCCGGCAUAAAUGCUGCGCUGCCAUCGCGGCAGGCUAAACAGAAAUGCUGAGCCUCCCAAGCUAAAGGGAAAGUCAGCCCUGCUGAGGAGGGGGGCGGAGGAGCUCAGUCACUGAGGCUGCCACACCAGAGUCGGGGGUGAGGGAUCAAGGCGAGGCUGACAGGUGACAGGGUGAGUGGAAAAUCCUAAGAGCAAAGCUUCUCAGGGACCAGCAACCCGCGCAACACAGGUGCGACAUGAAGACAUCAUCUGUGGCAGGCUGUCGCUGUUCCAACAGUUUUAUCAUCUUACAGAAGAUCAUGGUCAGUGCCACAUCAUUUAUUUAAAAACAGCACUGCCAGAGUCCUUCAUCGAGUAUACAAUUUUUCAACAAUUUACAAAUCAUUAAUGAAAAAAAGGAUUAAGCACUAUUUGUGUGUGGGAGUUCUAUCAGUGGCAUGAUUUUUAACAUGGUGUGUGUUUAACCACACGCACAAAUGGCUAUCAUAAUUAUGUUCGCCUCUGGUUUCAAAUAAUGUAAUUCCUUGGACACUUCUUGUAAAAGUUGGUGCACUAAAUUGCUAAAUUCUUCUUUAGGCAGCGCAGAUGGACCGGAUAAGGGUCUCUCAAGCUUCAUCUGUCUCCUAUAUCCUGGCACUUACUGCCUUGGUUUGAUGGCUGUUUUUCUUUUUCCUUGGCUAGGCAAGCCAUUUUACGUUUCUCCUCCCUCCUCCUCCUCCCUCCUCCUCCUCCUCCUUGUUUUUGAGAUGGAGUUUCGCUCUUGUCGCCCAGGCUGGAGUGCAGUGGCAUGAUCUCGGCUCACUGCAACCUCUGCCUCUUGGGUUCAAGCAAUUCUCCUGCCUUAGCCUCCUGAGUGGCUGGGAUUACAGGCACCUGCCACCAAGCCCAGCUGAUUAUUGUACUUUUGGUAGAUACGGGGUUUCACCAUGUUGACCAGGCUGGCCUCGAACUCCUGGCCUCAGGUAAUCCACCCGCCUCGGCCUCCCAAAGUGCUAGAAUUACAGGCAUGAGCCACCGCACCCGGCCUUUUUUUCUUCUUUUAAUGGAAAUAAAAUCAGAGGCUUGUGGCCGCACCAGGGCCUCAAUUCUUUCAUGAUUUUGCCACCGAUGGAUGUCUAGAGUGAGCCCUCCUCUCCUCUCACCUUUCCUCUCUUCCAUUCUCUGCCCUGCAGCCUGUGUUUCCUUUUCACCUCUUUCUGUGGCCCAGUGUAAAAUACUUUUGUCUACAAAUGUUUUCCCAGAAGACCUCUCGUCUUUUUUUUUAGGAUGGUAAAGAUGAAGUUGCCUUUUAAGUGGGAAGAAUGGAACGUCUCUCUGCUUCCACCACAAACUAAAGUUAAGGUGAGUCACUGAAUGUUCGGGCAUCUACGUCAGACCUAGGAAACGGGAGAGCUGUUCACUUAAUCUCACUCCCUCUGAAAUUAGAUUCUCACUGUGGACAACUAACAUUUUCCACAGCACAGAGCGUUGAUAUUUCUCUUCUGGGGACCAUUUGUUGUUGUUGUUCUUAGAUCUCAAUCUUUCCUGGUUUUUGCUAUUUAAAGAAAUUGUCUUCUCUCAGUUGAGUUGGAAAUAAAGCUCGCAGAAAAUCACACAUAGCUGAAGCAGUGAAUACUAAACUAUAUUAAAAAUGCAAUAGCCUUGGGAUUACAUUGUGCAUAUGAAUGUCUGAAAGAUCAAAGGCAUUACGAAUUCAAAGGAAGCUCGGCCAUCACAGCAAACCACGGGAGUGAGCAAACUCAAGCAAAUUACAAAAUAGCCGAAGGUGCCUGAGGAAGAAGCGCACAUACCCACAAACCAGCCGUCAUCACACUUUUCCAUGACAUCAAUGACAUCACUUUCUCUGAGCUCCAGCUCAUCUUCAUUCCUGGGAGUAUAGUUAUACAGAGCCUGAAACCUUAAACAGGACAAGGGAAUGUGUUUAAAAACAUCUUGACACCUUCAUGAAAUAUAGAAGAUAGAACAAUAUUCAUUCUUCCUUUAACAUUCCUAUUCUUAACAACAUUCUGUUGGGUGGUACAAGCCUGGUAAGCAUGUAAAUAGCAUUCUAUUGGAUGGUACAAGCCUGGUAAGCAGGUACAUAGCAAUAUGUAGAUCUUCACAGGCAUUAGAACACUCUAACAACAUUUUGAAACUCACGAGGAAUAUCCAUGAAAAUUGUAACAUUCAUAAAUUGGAUUAAAAUAUGUCAACAUGUAUAAGUCAGACCCGCAUUUCAGUUGUCCAGCCAUCUAACGUCUAUCAUUUAGACAUUAAAUAAUAGUACAAAAUAUAAAAUAAGUGAUAUUUGUAUUAUUUAACUGUUUAAAAACAAGAAGGAAUCACAAUUUUAGCUAGCCAUAAUCAGAAGCAAAUAAUGGGGGCUUGAGAAUUGAAUUUUCAAAGGUUCUAAAUGGAGAUAGACAAAAUGUGUCAGACAUGUCUUUUUAAUCACUCUGUGUGAAUUACUAUACAAAGGAAAAUUAUUUUUUUUACUAAGAGGAAUUCUUUAGAUCAGUUUAAUGUUAUGGUUUGGAUCAGUGUUUUCUGAGGAUGUAGAAUUGGAAGAUUUGAUGUAAUUAGCCUAUGAAGUUGAGUAGAUGUAUUCUAUGUGCAGUUAUUACUGAUUCCAUUUCAAGCAGACUAUGGACAUAAGUCUCUUUUUAAAAUGAGUCCCAGAAAAAUUGUAUUUGAUUUUAAAACUCUCUCUUGAAAUAAUUUUAUAUAAAAAAGAAUUAUUGAUAGAAUGCUAUCACUUUCCUUUCCCGGCCUGAAUUCUUUGACAGCAUAUACUGUGGUGGAAAUUGAUCAAUAAUGAAUUCAGACACUGAAUUUGUGGUAAGAAAACACCAUACAUUAUAAUAAAUAGUAACAUGGGCUGGUGUUUUUGGAAAAUGAAGGCGAAAUUACUGUAGCUGAGAAGGUCAAGAAGAAUUUGAUAGGCAGUUAACAUGAAAACUUCUUCAUAAUAGUACUAAAAUAUUACCAGUACUGUGAGGGGGUUUUUAAAAAUUGGGAAUUUGUUUCUGCUGCUUUCUGUAACAGUCAUGUCAUUCUGCUAAUGUGAGAAAAUAAUUACCACUUUCUAGGGUAUUUUAGAUUUUUUCAUGCCAACUUAAAAAAGUUGAUAAUCUUGACUACCGCUCCGGAACAAGAAUGAUUUAUUUUUAAUUACUUUAUGAGUCAGAAAAUAAUAUUUUGGUAGAACAAAACUAUUCUAUCAUUUAAACUCAAAUCUUAUGUCAUUAAUAAGCAACAGUGACCUACUGGCUUCCCCCCGUUCAUCCAGCAUUUGGACUGGGGGAGCUGGAUAGAGUUGGCUUCAGAGAAUGCCUAACAACAUCCCCUAGAAAAUAUUGUUUUCCCUGGCCUGGCACCAAAGCCUGAAAUUUCAACAUUAGAGGCUUCUUCUCCUGUUAAAACUUCAUCCUUCCAGUAGACCUUACAGCCACUUAUAUCCUUUUGAGCAUGGGCUUCUGAGGCCUUUUCUUGAGAGAGGGGUUUGUGAUUAUGGGGAAGGGCAGAGAAAGGCAGCUAGCAUCCCAGAGUAGUGGCCAAAAAGACAGGCAGGUGUGGAAUACAGAAACGUCACCUGAUUUGGAUGUUUGCAUGUGGCCAGCUUUGCUAGGGGUAGUCCAUUUAUUUUGUUGCUUGUGUAAAGAAUUUGAUUUGGAGGCUGCUCAGGUGAAGGGGUGGUAUCUUUUGUGUAUCUGUGGGGAAAGUUCACGGUCCCUUUUCCAGUUUCACAUUUGAGAGAGAUGGUGGUUCCUGGGCUGCUGUUUUGAUGGAUACACACGGCAUUUCUCACUUUGGGAAAACUGAUUCUUUUAUUGAGCUUCUCAGGCUUGAACCCUGCCCAGGCUCAUCUCCACCCACUCAUGGAGACCGGUUACCUAAGGCUGCAAACCUCAGCUGCUGGAAAGAAUCUCAAGGUCUCAGAGCUAACGCAACAAAAUUGGCACAGACUCCUGCUUCAUUUUUGUCUGAUGAAAGCCAGCAUGUUUGUCCAAAUUUAUUUACCAUUCUGGUUUAAUUAGACCACAGAAACAAAAACAAAACAAAAGAAAACCCACGGAGUUUUAUGGAAACGUAAACACACCUUCAGGAAAUCCUCCUGCCUCUCCUGGCUUUCAAAGCCAGUGUUGCACAAUGGGAAAUGAAGACAAAUCCAAUGUUAAAAAAUGCUGUUGUGAAAGAUGUGUUGGUGAGGUGAGUGAUGGUGGUGGGGUAAGGAUGCCUCAAAAAGAAAGGUGUCUUUUAAACAGGAAAUGCUGAGCCAGACUGGAAGCCCUCUCGAUAACUUGCAACUUUUUCUAGAACAUAUUUCACUAAAACUCUGAAUUGUAGUGACAUAACAUUAUGUUCCUACUUUGGCUCAAAACUUAUUUUUAAAUGAAAGCAACUAAGCAACACCCUAAAAUCCCACUAAUUCAGGCUAUAAUCAAAUAUAAAUUUAAUAAACAAUGUUUUCUAAUAUACAAAUCAGGACUUUGAAAAUGUAACAUAUCUUUCAUUCAUAAACACUUUGAAAGCUGUUUAAUAUAACAUGUUGGUAAUGCAAUAAACCUAAACAGCCCUGGAAUUUAUUUUUUAUCAUGUGAUCUUAUCAUCGUUUGGGUAAAUAAGAGAACAAACAAAAGCUUUAGAAUGACAAGUCGUAUUUAGUGUUUUCCAGUUAAGCGAUCUUUUUGUUUGUUUGUUUGUUUGAGACAGGGUCUUGCUCUGUUGCCCAGGCUGGAGUGCAGGGCCAUCAUCAUGGCUUAUUGUAGCCUUGAUCUCCCUGGCCCAAGUGAUCUUCCCACCUCAGCCUACUAAGCAGCUGGGACUACAGGCGCAUGCCAUCACACCUGACUAAUUUUUUAUUUUUAUUUUUGUAGAGAUGGUGUUUUGCUAUGUUGUCCAGGCUGGUCUUGAACUCCUGGGUUUUGGCCUUCCAAAGUGCUGGGAUUUCAGGCAUAGUGACUGCACCUAACCUUCAGUGAGAUUUCAAAUGAUUAUCACUGCUAACCUGUUCUUUCCAAAAUACAGACUUUCCCGCAACAAGAACACUUUUCUGCCUGUGCUCUGUGAGAGCCAGUCUCAUCCGGAGCUGCUUUUUGCUAAGUUUCAGGUCUGUGAGGAGCAAGGAAGGACUUGAUGGUGAUAAAGGCACCAGGUCAUAUGCCAGGACCUGCCGCAAGGAGGAGGCUAUUGUUAGCCUGUUCUGCUCCAGGUGAGCAGAGUGUGGGCAGUGGGUCAGGAUCCCCAGUGUGUGCUCAGAUAUGGGGGACAAGGGGUUAGGUCCAUGAAUAAGCCUUCCCAGGGGUCUCACUCUCGACUCACAGUGUGGGCAGAGGCCAACAGGAAGCUGAUAACUCCUGAACGUCUCUCAGGGACAAAAUGGGCCCGAAAAAGAAACACACAGAGAGAAUCUUCAAGACAACGUGUGACACCUUCAGGCUGAUUUAACUCAUGUAUCAGAAAGGAGAAGGAAUUUGAAAGGAAAGUUUGAAAAGGCAUUUUCCUGGUGCUGUGGAAGUAAUCGCAUGUAACUGAAUAACAGUGAGUGUUUUAAUACUGCCCUUUUCAAAUGACCCUUCUAAGCAUGUAACUUUGGAAUGAUGGAAUGAUCGCUUUAGGUCUUUUUUACACUGAGGUCCACUUUUACCGUCUCCCAGUGGGUGUAAAAGUAAGGUUAGAACAUGUUCUGUAUGUCUUUGAAGCUCGCAGUUACUCGUUACACAGCCAGCAGAGCAGAGAGGGAGACAGAGUUAUCCAUCUUAGGAAUCACUGAAGCAUUGGGAAGUUUUCCUAGUGUGUCAAUUAAAAUCUUCUCAGAGAACUAUGGGUUCUUUUAAAAAUUAGUUUCUGGUCACUGUCAUAAAAGAUGGAGAGACUAUUACAAUUUCUCGUAAUUUAAGAGGCCUCAUGUUAGUUUGAUCUUUCACGUGCAAAGCCAUACAUCUUACAUUUUGGUACAGUUGUCCAUUUUGUGGGUCAAGGUUAGUCUCAAAUUUAGAAGAUAAGAAGAAUACUUACGGUUCCCCCCCACCUUGAAUAUUUUCAUGAGUAAACACAGGACGCUGUGGCUGAAAUGAAAUGAUUUUCAAUGUAAUCAAUGUUUAAACUGGUACUAAUUAAAAGAUAAUUUGGAUAAUGGCAUGGUACUUUUCUUGACAUUUAAUAUUUCCUGUUGUAAAAAACCAAGAGGAAGAAAAAAACCAAAUAAAAGCUUUCUGCAGGAUUAAUAAUUAAAAUAUUUAAAGGGAGCUUUAAAUUAAAGCAAAAUAAGCAAGGUCAAAUGUUUUGAACAUGUCUACAAUCUAGUCUGCUCAAGCUUUAAGGAAAAGUCAGGGUUUGGUCCCAUUGAUUUUUCAAAGGCCAGGAAUAAGGCAAGAACAUAGACGGCAAACCACUAGAAUAGGAAAUAUAGACACCUUCAUACAACCUUAUUCUCCAGCGUUUUCUCAAACAAGCAGAAAAUAAACCACAUUUAGUUUAACAGCAAAGUAUCCACACUCAUUCUUUCAAUCUUUCCUUCACAGACAACAUUUUCACAUACAGCACAGAGGAAAAUAUCAAUAGGCAGACAUCCCAUGCUACAUUUGAAUUAACAUUUUCUGUUCUCAAUGUGGAGAGAAAACAUGCAUUUUUAAAAAGAGAAAACAGAACUUUGGAAUGCAACGAACAAUAUCCGGGUAACAUGUAACAUUUUACCUUAGAAGAGAAACAUUGGUAGAAAUUUCCAGUGCACUGAACUCUCAAAAGAGUUUCUUUUCUUUUUAAACUAAGCAUCAAGACCAGUAUCUGUAAUAGAUACUUAUAAUAUUGGAAAUGACAAGCCUUAGCAUCCCAUAUACCCACAUUAAUAUUUUCAGUGAAUGAAAGUUAACAUGUUUGUUGAAUAUAUAAACUCAGUGUAAUUUAUAUUGACUACCUAAACUUUACCUUUUAGGGGAGAAAUGCAAACAAAUCAUUCAUAAUCCAUUUCAAAAGCAUUUGCUUCUAAAUGAUAGCUACAGGGUAAAAUCAGAAUUUGCAUGGCAAUUAUAUAAGUGACUGUUUGAUGACUACUGAAAUAGCUAUUAGAUCCAUGUCCUUAGACUUUGGGACCAGUUCUUAGAUUUCCAUAGUUAUGAGUGGAUUACUGAUAGGCUGAAAUCUCUUGCUGCCAAUUGUCCAUAGAAACCCCACUGAUCCAAGCUUGGAUGGAUAAUUCUGAGGUUCCUUUCAGUCUACGAGUCAAUGAUUCACCCACUUCCUAAAUUCUUUAUCCACCCCCUUUCUAUCCUACUUGUCUAUCUAGCAUAAGACUAGGUACUCACAGUACUAAAACUGUAAGCUCUGACUCGGUUAACUGGAAACCUUUAUUAACAGUGUUCUUAGAAAUUUCACUCAACAGUCUGUGGAUAGAAUAUUUAAAACUAGAGUGCGUAAGAAUUACUGCACACAAUUAUGACUUAAGAGUGAAAUAGUUUACUCCUGUAAAUCAAUAUGACUACUAAUGAUGUAUCUAUUAUUAAAAUUGGAAGAUAUUCAUAUUUUAAGAAAAAUUAUGACUAACCAGUUUUCCAACCAUCUUAAAGGUCAUUUAAUUCAAGAUAUUAUUAAAUCAAUUUAAAUAUAUAAGAUGGUAAUUGUAAGUCAUUGAUAAGCCUGUAUCAUAUUACCUAUUUCAAGUUCUCUUCCAGUCCAAUAAAACUUUAUAUAUGUAUAAAACUUUCAUGCAGAAGUAAGAUUUGUAUACAUCAAUUGCCAUUAAUAUUAUUUUGUAAUAACUUUCCAGUCUUUUUUUCUCAGUCUUCUUUCUUAUUUCAAAUGUCUGCAGAAUAAUGUUCUCCCACGUGUGUCUACAUAUCAUAGUUUUCUUAACCAUUCCUCUCUUUUUUUUUUAGUUUUGAAGUUAGAAUUGGUCUAGUCUUUUUUUUUUUGCUAUCAUAAACAGCAAUGCUAUACACAUUUUUUAUGCAAAGAGCUAUUUUCUUCUUUUGAACUAUUCUUUAGAAUAUAUUCCCAGGAGUAAAACUUCUGGCCAAAGAGUAUGCAUUAAAGCCAUAUGAUUUUGAGAAUGUACAUGUUAGUCACUGAAAAAUACUGUACUCAAAAGUAACUUGAAAAUGUCUAAUAUGCCAGACUGCAUAUCAUAUACCAAGAUAGCUACUACUCUUUCCCCAAAACAAUCAUAGCACCAUUUGCAGUGCAUAAUAAAGUUAUGAAUAAGAAAAUAUUAUUUAUUCUUGUCUUAAGAGAAAAUGUUGUGUAAAAUAUAUUUCAUUAUGCUCUAAAAUUGGCAUCCCUGUUUUCACACAUUUAAACCAUUUUAAUAUUUUAAAAUUGAGUAAAAGUUUCAACUUCUACAUCAUGGCAUCCAAUGCUUUGUAAAACUGGUUAGUUUCAUUUCAUUGCUCUUUUGUUAAAAUGUGAAUACCACUUUAAAAAUCAAAUUGUUCAUUAAUGUAAAACAAUCAACUUUUAAAGUCCGUAUAUCCCUUUUUAGUUAUCAUCAUUAUAAUUCUACUAGUUUAAUUCCUUUAACUCAACCCACCUCAUCAAUCAUUUAACUGAACUGUCCCAUUGACCAUUAUGAAAAUUUGGUGAUUGCUGCAAACCUGCAGCUUCCUGGAUCCCACGUCCAUGGCUGGAGAACGUAUGUUCCUGUGUGGGGCAGCCAGCACCGUCCUUGCUUUUUUUUUUUUUUUUUUUUUUUGAGAUGGAGUCUCACUCUGCCACCAGGCUAGAGGUCAGUGGUGUGAUCUUGGCUCACUGCAACCUCUGCCUCCCGGGUUCAAGCGAUUCUCCUGCCUCAGCCUCCCGAGUAGCUGGGACUACAGGCACGCACCACCGUGCCCAGCUAAUUUUUGUAUUUUUAGUAGAGACAGGGUUUCACCAUGUUAGCCAGGAUGGUCUCGAUCUCCUGACCUUGUGAUCUUCCCGCCUUGGCCUCCUAAAGUGCUGGGAUUACAGGCGUGAGUCACUGCGCCCGGCCCCCGUCCUUGCUUUUACCUGUUUCCCAAUUUCUCUUUUCCCUUCCUUCAUAUCUUUCAAACCCUGCCCCUCUUUUUACACACAAAUCAUCAGUUUUCUAUACUGUUCACAUCCUGAGGCCAGAAUCAAUCAAGACUUUUCGUAGCAGAGAAGUUGUGUGUGUCUUAUAAUGGCGAGUUUUAGAACUUUUCAAAGCUUACCUUUAACAAGAAUCACCUCCAUGUUAAUGUGGAUAACUAGGAGACAGUUUUGAGGAAAGCUGACUAAUUACAGUACUUGAAAUAGUUUAUUUUAAAGGCAUUUGACUAGUAGGGAAUGAGUAGCAAGAACAGUUAUCUAAGACGGCUCAUCUGCGUCUUUCUGUUUUGGGCGUUAAGCACCAUAUAACCUUGGGGAUGCCUCAGCUUCCCUAUCUCUGAAAUCAAUGAGUUGGACAAGAUGAGGGUUAAUCGGGUCCCCUCAGGGAUUCCAUGAAGGAUACACAUUUCCACAGAUGUAUUUCCUCUGCUGUGUAAAGGUGUCCGUCAUCAGUUUUACACAGAGAGCUGGGACACUGACAUUGAUUGGUUAAUUCUCAUGUGUCUCGGUCACGUAAAAAAAAAUAAUGGUUACAAUUCAACUCCAUUUUGCAGAAUGGUAAACCAAAACCCAAAGAUACUGGAUAAUUUCUUAAUACGACAAAUAGGUAAAAAACAAACAGAAAAAGAAACAAAAUGGUAAUUUCGAUGUGCACGCUAUUGCAUGAAAGAUUACUAUGAUGGACUACUUGGCCUACCUUGGCUAAAAUCAGCAUCUUAAUUUUGACGCUGAGGUAGGUGCAAAUGUCCUAUAAGGUGAUGUAAAUAGAUUAUCUGGGGAGACUGUCUUUCGCCCUUUCCCCUUGGUGAUGUAACUCAAAUGGCAAGUCGCUUAAGCAGAGAUUUGUAAUGCAGCUGCACUCUGUCGCCACCUAGUGGUGAGCAAUGGCAGCAACAAGCUGAGAGUUGUUUCUGCUUUAUCUGCCCCUUUUUAUCCAAGUUCCCAAGGCUGGAAAAAUUUUAAAAGCCUAUUUUAAAGGCCGCAGAGUGAUGUGGAAUAGACAGUCAUCUGUUUUCCUAACCAUGUUCUUCCCUCCCCACGUUUUAAAUUUUUGAGAAAGCAUCCCUUGUAAAGCCACCAGCAUUUUUGGUCCGUGUCCAUUUCUAUUUUGACUAUCUGUGCAGGCAUUUCCAUUUCCCCUAACUUCUUAGCAGUUUUAAGAUAAAUAUAGAACAAUAUACACUUGUGACAUUCAGAGAGGCUUACAUGAGCUGAACCUAGAAAGAUGGCUUUCAACUGACACAUUACAAUCACUGUGCUGGGCAUUUUGAACAAGAAUUAUAUUAUGCUUAUAUUUCCUUGAUGAAUCUUAAGAGUAGAACAAGAGAAAAAUCCAGUGAAGCAUGCUGCGGUUUUCAUCGUAUCCUAAAUAUGUAUUUUUUUCUGUAGCCCUGACUAUGUAAGUAUUUUUCUGUAGCUAUUUUUUAAUGUUGUCAAAAACGGAUACAAAAGAGACAAGUUUUAAACACAUGCUAAUUUCCAAAGCCAGAACCAAUCACAAGUUGCUGUUCAUAAGGAAGCUGGUUUGAAACAUCAUGGAGUCUGUAACAUCAGUAAAAUAUAUACUUUCCGAUCUUAGUGAGCUACAGUCUGUUGAAAAGCCGUCUAAUUUAUCAAAGCUUCUGCAGUUAUCUCUGGAGGAUUAGCUAUAUUUAGUAUCAAAUAAUUCUUAAAGAAGGAUUGACUGUUACUUUAAACACUAAUGCAAAAAAAUCUCUGAAAGCAAUAUAAGCAGUGCUAAAGUGUUUUUAUCUUUUUUUAUAAAAUAUUAGUUGUCAUAUUUGCCCACCAGAAUUCGAUGAAAUUCUCCUAAUAAUACCACGUUUAUGUUUCUAGAGGCUUAUUUUUCCUUCUUAAAUUAUGAAGGUAAAACACAACUUUGCAUAAAUCUAAAAAAAUAGAAUAUUUAUGGUUCACACAAACACACGUGUAAUCUGACAUACAAAUACAUAAUGUAAAAAUCAGGCAAAAAAUAAAAAAAAAACCUUAAGGGGAACACAAGCAUACCAUCUCGUGGACCCACAGGAGGGUUAUAGAUGGGUCCUUUUCACUGCAAAAGAAGCUUAUGUUUUGCUUUGGCUCUGGAAGGCCAUUCGGGGGAGUCUAAGAGUCUCUACAAAUUGGCAUUUCUGUCUCUAUGGCAACACAAAGCUCUGCCUCAGCAACAAAAUGAGGUCUUCCUAUGCAAUGCAAAAAGCACAAAGUGGCAUGAAUGCAGAAUAAUAUCGACUUUUCUUUAGAAAUAAAAAAUGAAGACUUCUGUGAAAUCAAGCCCUUGAGAACUUCUUGAAAUGCAGAAGCACGGCCAUGCGAUAGGCCAGUCAAGGUUGAAUCCGGGUCCAUUAAAACAGAAAUGAGGAAAGGAAUCCUGACUUAUGUCCAGAUGAAAAUUUCCAAACUCCUUGGCUGCAUUCCUUAGAAUUGAUAGUAAGUACCAUUUAGAGUCCAUGUAUUUUAAAGUACUGUAGAUACUAUGGAACGAAGUAGCUAAGGGAAAGUAAUUUGACCUUUAAGUUCAAUCAGAGCUGGCAAGAAAUAGGAAGUGGAUAGAAUCCAGACAGCAGUAUGGGGACAAAAGGCAGACUGAGAGGAUGUAGUGCACAUCACCAGAGAAACAGAAGAUGUUAGACAAGAAUCAUGGAUUUAAAAAAAAUCCAAAUUGAAUGACACAGAAGCAAACAUGACCGGAAGUGUGUGAGUUCGGCACUGUAGAUGCUUGGCAACAGUUUUUUCUUUGCAGGAGAAACGGUGACUAGAAAGCAGUGAUUUAGUGUAGAACCAUGAGACAGAUGUAGACCACAAAACACACGACACUCUUAUUUGUAGAGUAGAGAAUCUGACCAUGUCUUUGUGGAGUUUGGAAACCUCACACACACCUAAAAGGGAAGCACAUCACCAGGUGGUCGCUUCAUCUUCAGGGUGUCUCCAGCCUCACUUUAAGGCCAGUUCACAGCAAAGACAACUAAGGAAGAGCCAGCCCUGGGGGCGGGGGAGGUGGCCAGGAUGCCUGCCACAAAGUGGGGGCAUGCUGACCCUACCCUGUGGGAACCGCUGAGCCCUCUGACAGGUGAGCCGCAGAAUCUCCUAGACAUCACUGGGCUACGAGGAGGCUUACCCAGGACACAUAUCUCGCUUUUUACGUCAGCCUGGAAAAUGUACAAGAAGUUAGUUAGCUCUCAUCUUCGUCACACAGACUUCAGGAGGAGCUUUCCUGGCUGGCUUUUUCCAUGCACACACAGCAUGCCAAACUCCUGCACAACAGCAGGGCAGGGAGGGUCCACAGCUUCUCCAGCUGCUUAUACAGUUUCCACACCACAGGCACCAGCUGCCAUCUUAACAUGGCACCCACAGGCACAGCAGAAAAAGGUUCACAGAGGAAAGCUGGCAUAGGGAAGAGGCCAAGAACAUAUAAGAAAUGUUAUAUCUUUUUUUGUCUUUUAUUUUUUUGAGACGGAGUCUGGCUCUGUCGCCCAGGCUGGAGUGCAAUGGCACAGUCUCGGCUCACUGCAACCUCCAUCUCCCGGGUUCGAGCGAUUCUCUUGUCUCAGCCUCCCGAGUAGCUGGGAUCACAGGCACCCGCCACCAGGCCCAGCUAAUUUUUGUAUUUUUAGUAGAGACAGGAUUUCACCAUGUUGGUCAGGCUGGUCUUGAACUCCUGACCUCAAGUGAUCUGCCUGCCUCGGGCUCCCAAAGUGCUGGGAUUACAGGUGUCAGCCACUGCGCCCGGCCAAGAAAUGUUAUGUCUUUCAUAGAAUGCUUAGCAAUUGGGUUCAAGAUGCUCUCAAACCUGCCCUGCUUUUUCAUCUUAUUGAAGGGAUGCAAGGUGAGAUAGAGGAGAAUUUGGCUUAAUGCCUGUCAAAUUUCAUGGACUGUAUCAGACAUUUGUUGGAGGCAAAAUUUUCUAACACAUAAGAAGAAAAUAAGGCCUUUUUGGGGGGAAACAUGGUGAAAUUUGAUGAACUACUGAAGUGCCAACCUGUGGGCUGGACUGUUUUGGUGUUUUUUUUUUAUUUUCAGAGUAAGAUCUUUCAUAUGACAGUGAGUAAGCUGACCUUCUUUUGUGUAGGUUUUAUUUUCCUUCCAAUAGCGGACAGGAUCUGGCAGUGUACUGCCUGGUAUUUGAUCUGGCUUAAGAGAACUUCCGGAGGAAUAAAACACGCUUAAAUAAAAGCAUGUGGUUUUCUCAACUCUCAUUUAGAAAAGUUUUCCUAAUUCUCAGUAAUGAUUGACCUCAAAUCCCCAGCCUCUCGGGAUGAAAUGUGUUUGGCACCGUUGCUUAAGUGUCGUGGCAGACGAUGCUUGAUGCUCUCCACAUCCAUUCUCUUCUUGGUCCUCAGUAAUGGGGCCAGGCUGUUGGGUAGGCACAUGGCCAUUCUGGAUAAAGACCACAUUUCCUGACUUGUAGCUGGAUGUACUCAUGUCAUAAGCUGAGACCGAGGGGAUAUAUGCAAUUCUGGGACUUGGCCUUCAAGGGAGAAGGUGUAAUCUCCCAUCUUUUCUCCUUCCUGCUGGUUCGUGUGAGAAGGGAACUACUCGAGCUGCCACCUGGGACCCAUAGCGGAAGCUUCUCUCUGAGGAUGGCGAUGAGCCCACAUCAGAUGGAAACUCCUGGGUUCUCUGAUGACUGCGGGGCCACCAUACCAGUCCCGGACACCCUUCAUUUAUGUUGCUGGGUUAUUUCUUUUCUUUACAAUGAGCAUCAGCAUUCUUGAAAUGGAAGAAAUAAAAAGGCUUCGGACUCAGAUUGGCAGAGUUUGUAACUGGGUCAGAUGCAGAAUUAAACUAUAAUGGCCUAAAAUUACGAGUUGAUUCAAUUUGUACUUAAAUUUACAAGCACAAAUAACUUCAGUGAAUAUAUUCUUUCAAUGACUACAAAAUAGAUUUAUAAGGUUUAAAAAAACUCAGUGGGAGAUUCAAAAAUUGAGAUUUCCUCCUAAAUAGGAGAUAAAACAGAGAAAAUCACUUUGAUUUGCUGGAGUUAGUCAGAAGUAUCUCAUGUGGUCAUUAAAAUAUUCUUUUAAAACAUAGUUAUUGUGAAUACCUCCAUUCUCUCAUGUCAUUCUGCAAACAACGGAAACUUAAAGAAUAUACGAGAAGAAUUUUGUUCUUGCAGAAGAGUAAACCUUUUUAAAUCCUGGCUUUGUCCUGAUGCUACGAUGGUGCGUCCUCCGUCUUUCCAAAUUAGAGAACUCAGAUUCUAAGGCUACUUUCCCUCUUAUUGACUAAGCUUAAAAACCGAAGAACAAGUUAAAAAAAAAGACAAGAAAUAAAUACCUUGGCCUUAAAAAUAAAACCACAGACAGAAGAGAAAAAAAGAGAAAUUCUUAGCCUUAGGCAUCAUAUAAAGUGGCAUUAUUUAAAACAUUUCCUAAUUAUUUUCUGCCAGCUAAGAAAAAAAACCUCAAAGAGCAAAAGCAAUUAAAGUGUUUCAUUUUUUACAAAGUUCCUUUCACGCCUAACAGGAGCACAUAGAUAGACUAUGUCAGCGAAUGGGUUUGGUGGUAGUGGUUUUGAGAUUGUAUAAAUGGCACUUCCUAAUACAGAACCUUAGCUGUAUUAGAGCCCUAAAUUUUUACUUAUGUGCAGAGGCUCUCAUUUCACAUUCAAAAGACUGAAUGUGAGGGUGAGCUAUUGUUUGAAGUCUGUCACCUUUUUUCCAAAGGAAAAUGUUUUAGGAUCAUUCUGAACAUAGAAGGAAAACAUUUCAGUGAUGGACUAAUUUCAUGCUGUGGUUGUCAUUAAAUCUCUUUCCAAGGCCAGUCAUUAAUUUUGUUAAAAUAAUUUUUUAAAAAUAGUAUCUUUAGGUUAAAUACCAGCGGAACUGUCAGCCUGCAAGUCUCAGAGAUGGAUGCUUUGUGAAGUGCUACAAAAGGAUGAUCCUUCCCACAUCCUCAUGAAUUUACGUCACUUUUGUGGAAGAACAAGGCUCAAGACAGUCAAUGCCAAAGAUCAUCCUGUCUCCAGGCUCUGCUGAACCUGCCGAUCGGUGGGAAAUGACGGGAGACAAUGAGUCCACUGAGAGGUGAUGGAGAAUGGCAGGCACUGAGCUAAGAUACCUUAAAUGUGAUGCUUCUCAUGCUGACGGCCAACUGAAAACAAUCUCAUCAUUACUUCUUAUUAUGAUAUACAUUUUAAUUUGUUUUUCUCCUCAAUCUGGGUAUAGCUGCUAUGCAAAUAUGUCUUUUAAAUGUUUGGAUAGAGGCCACGCCCAUGAUGUUAAAAGUUAGCAAUCAGUAUUUAUGUAACUUCGUAGGUCUUGUGAGAGGGCGCAAAUCUGAAUGCAUACAUCUUACUAAUUAAGCUCAUUGAAGACAUGCAAUAAACCACACUCAAGAUGCAGUUACCUUUAAUUUUGGUGGAUUGAUCUCCUGUUGAUAAGAAUAUUUAGGGAGGAGAGGAGGUGAGCAGGGCUGAGAAAGUGUAGAGUCCAGGUCAGAAACAGAGGCGAAGAGAGAAUGAAAUGGAGGGGAGGAAAGCAGGUGGCUGGGAAAGGGUGUGGGUGCUUGCUCUCCCGAAGAAAAUGACGGAGGCUUAAAUAUCGAGGAAAGACGAGAGGUGAUUAUGCUUGUCUCAGAAUGAGGUUACAUGCUCUUUACGGAAUUUCCUCUCAACUUCCAACAUUUUAAAGUUACUAAUAACCUUGGGAAGUUAUAUUUAUGACAAAUUUUUUGCUUUGAAACCACUAACUUCCUCUUUUGAAUUUGAUUCAAAAUCCCCAAUGGUAUGAUCAGUUUAAUUUUUCGCAUGGGGGUGGCUGGAGAUAGGAACACCUAUAUUCUAUCAUUUUCUCAUAUAUUUAUAUGAUGGCUCCUUCUAAAAGUGAAGGAAAAAAGUAUUUAAAACCCUGCAAUGACUGUAACUUGCGUGUAAAGUAGGUUGCCAACUAUAGUCAGCGUGUCACAAAGCUGGGGAAGCCGUGGCCCCGCGUGCAGGGUGUGAGCUGGUGCUGGGAUGAGCCGGCCUAGGGUACUGUCUGUGUCAGCAAAGCCACACAUCUAAUCACACCUUCAGAUUGAUUGAAUUGAAAGGAAUAUUAGUUACUGAAAUAAUUGAUGUAGAGACACGUUUGGCUCCUUGCAAUGAAUUAUCUAUCUGUUAUUAAAUAAGGUGUUUGUUUUACACAAAUGCAGGCCUGGCCGGGUUAUUUUGAAAUACAGGAACUAUGAAAGAAUUUGACUUGGAUAGUAGCGUAAUAGGAACCAUCCUUUCUGUUAUUUCAUAAUUUCUAUAAUUGCCAGUAAUUAUACUUGCUUCUUAAUUCACAGGGUACAUUUGUGGGAUCAAGUUUCUUUUUAUUUUUGAAAUGGAGUUUUGCUCUUUUUGCCCAGAACGGAGUGCAGUGGCACAACUUCAGUUCACUGCAACCUCCGCCUCCCGGUUUGAAGCAGUUCUCCUGCCUCAGCCUCCCGAGUAGCUGGGAUUACAGGCACCCAACACCAUGUCUGACUAAUUUUUGUAUUUUUAGUGGAGAUGGGGGUUUUACCAUGUUGGACAGGUUGGUUUCGAACUCCUGACCUCAGAUGAUCCACCAGCCUUGGGCUCCCAAAGUGCUGGAUUACAGGCGUAAGCCACCGCAGCUGGCCUUAAGUUUCUCUUUUUUUUUGAGAUGGAGUCUCGCUCUGUCACCCAGGCUGGAGUGCACUGGCACGAUCUCAGCUCAUUACAACCUCCUCCUCCCGGGUUCAAGUGAUUCUCCUGCCUCAGCCUCCCGAGUAGCUGGGAUUGUAGGCACCCACCACCACGCCUGGCUAGUUUUUGUAUUUUUGGUAGUGACGGGGUUUCACCAUGUUGGCCAGGCUGAUCUCAAAUUCCUGACCUCAGGUGAUCUGCCUGCCUCGGCCUCUGGAAGUGCUGGCGUUGCAGGCUCGUUUUUUGUUUUAAGAGAGAGGUUUGCAAGCUAAAGUUUCUGGAUAUUUUCUGCCUUUGUUGAUUAAAACCACUGUUCAAGAUUCUUCAUAACAUGAAGAUACAGUACCCAGUUCUUAAGUAGUCAAUGUGAAGUCAACACAAAGAGAACGACCUCUUUAGAAAAUCGAAAGGGGACAGAAGUGCUGUUUUUCUUUUCUGUUGUCUUUGUUUAUUAUUAGCAUUAUUAUUUUUGCAAAGUGCCGUUAUGUCAAAGGUAUGGUGUACAGUUUCUCAUCCUGGAAUAGGACAAAUUUCUGGGCAUCAACUUCCUCUUCUCUAAAGUGGGGAUGAUAAUGUCACACACCUCACUGGGUUUUGACGAUUAAAGAUGUGGAGUUUUUAGAAUAGUGUCUGAUACUCAGUAAGAGCUCCACUAUUAGCUAUCAUUGUUAAUAUUGGAAGAUUACAAAGACUAUAUCAAUUACAAAGACUUUUACAAUAUAAGUUUAUGGUCCUGAAGAAAAAUGGGAUAAUGGAAUUAUAUCACAUAUUUACAUCAUUUAAUUAAAUAUGGUGUGUUUUCAUAUACCCACUCCACCCCCAUCUUAUAUAGUAUUUGUGUUUUUUGUUUAAAAAAAUCUGUUAGUCAAAAUAGGUAUUUAUUAAUAUGAUUAACUCUAAUAGCUAAUCAUGGUAAGGCCGGUUAGUUCUUCCAUAAUCAGACAAAAUUAAAAUACCUCAUUACUGGGUUUUGCUGCAUUGCUGUCCUCCUUGGGGGUCCUAGGAUCUGUGGGGGUGGCUAUGGGGUGUUUUAGGCAGUUGGGUUUCUCCUCCUCCUCCUCCUCUUCAAUGUGCAGGUGUGGGGUGCCCUCUGACCCAUCGUGGCCACACCACCAGGCGUCUCCUUCCUGAGGUUCUGGCGGCCCUCUCUGGAUGCCUGACACAAUCCCCUCAUAGAUGCCCUCAUCUUCCUCUCCAAUGACCGGAAGGGGUACAGGCAAGGAACCCACGCUGGUGCACGCAGAGGCCACAAAAUUAUCCCCUAGGACUUCUGGUGCCUUUUUAGGGUCUGAGAAGCCCCUUCUCAUUUUUCUCAACUCUGCAAAGUUGCUUUGAGUUGUCGUUCUGGGAUCCUGAAGAGGCUCUGCAUGGUAAGGCUGGGCUGCAGCCGAGGCCACACCCGCGUGAGUGGAAGGUGAUUCGGCAGGUGCAGUCGCUGGGGACAAUGGGAGGAGGACAGCAGGUUCCUCCUUAAUUUCCAGGAUGGCGU